ACGAACGCUGGCGGCGUGCUUAACACAUGCAAGUCGAGCGGUAAGGCCCUUCGGGUACGACGAGCGGCGAACGGGUGAGUAACACGUGGGUGACCUGCCUCUAGCUCUGGGAUAAGCCUGGGAAACUAGGGUCGUAAUACCGGAUAUGACUCCACGGCGCAUGUUGUGGGGUGGAAAGCCUUGUGUGGCUAGAGAUGGGCCCGCGGCCUAUCAGCUUGUUGGUGGGGUGAUGGCCUACCAAGGCGACGACGGGUAGCCGGCCUGAGAGGGCGACCGGCCACACUGGGACUGAGACACGG
rnacentral:rRNA from 1 species